UGAGUAAGCCAGGCAGUCGCGUGCGUUCGCGCAUGAGGAAAGUCCGGGCUCCAUAGAGCAAGGGUGCCGGAUAACGUCCGGUGAAGGCGACUUUAAGGAAAGUGCAACAGAAACACACCGCCGAAACGGGUCAGGCCGUGGUAAGGUUGAAAUGGUGAGGUAAGAGCUCACCGGCGGCAUGGUAACAUGCCGGCCGUGUAAACCCCACCCGGAGCAAGGCCAAGCAGGGCAACAAAAGUGGCUGCUCGUCACUGCCCGGUAUGGUAGGCCGCAUGAGCCUGCUGGCGACAGCAGGCCAAGAUAGAUGAUUGCCUAAUACAGAACCCGGCUUAUGGCUUGCUCAUUUU
rnacentral:RNase_P_RNA from 1 species